CUCCGGAGGAAACCAGUGUGGAGAUGGAGGGCAGCUGCCCAAGAGCGUCCUCCCAGAGCUCUCGCAGGCCCGUCACAUCCCGGAAACGCUGACUCACUGUGGCAGGCCGCCAGGGCUCCAGAGGAUCCCCUGGACCAGCUCCUCUCCUCUCGUCUUUUCCAUAUACAGACACUGAGAUCCAGCAAAAGGAAGGGGUUUGUUCAAGGUCACCUGGCAAGGCAGAGAGAGAGAAACUGAUGCACAGGAAUGGACUGACUUCCCCAGGGUCCUCCAUCCUGAGCUCACGGUUGACUUGGACCUGGGUGUGCCGGAUCUCCUGAGCUUCUCCUGCCAUGGCAGUCUGGUACCCACAAUUUAGGUUACUUCAGGCUCAGAGAGCCCCUGCAUCACUACCAGGCAGAAGAAGAAGCAAGGAACACGGAGGGGCACCUGCUCAUGGCCUCUGAUUUUAGCUCCUAUCUCAGGAUUCCCCACAUCUGGAGAGGAGCUUUACAGACUCCAGCUUGUCACAGGAUUUUGCACCCAAAAUCUUGUUUGAUCCACCUGGCUCCAGAGACAGGGUCUUGCAAAGUUGACUAGGCUGGUUUCAAAUGAGAUCCUUCUGUGUCGACCCACUGAGUAGCUGGGAUUGCAGGUGUGAACCACUGUGCCUGCCUACCUCCAAGCUCUCUUUGGAUCUAAAGAAUACCUUUAUGUCUGGGCAUGGCUUGCUCCGUGUGUCUGUGAGGCAGGUGAAGAGAGGUCAGGAACCACCGAGGAUGGUGAUGACUAUUCCUAUUUUGCAGCAAGCAGGCUCCCAGCAACUUCCCUGCUGUCCACUCAGAAGUCCAUCCCUCUGAACUUCCAGCUCAGGAACCCUGCUCAGGGUUCCUCCUCCUCCCCAACAUCCAACCACUGCAGGCUCCUGAAUUGAAAGCAUCCCAGGCCUCCUCCAGCCUACGGAAACCACCAGCAGCAUCAGCUCCUCCCUCCGUCUGACCAUUAAAGCACGUGGAAAGGGCCGG